UCUGCUGUGCAGUUGCUGACAGUAAUCUGUCUCGAGCUAACCAAGGAGGAUAAGGAGACGUUCAAAAUCAAAUCUGGAAAGCGUCUUGUGGUUCUCUGAAGACGUUUCAUCAGUGCGCGGGAUGAAAGCAGAAAUUGCAGAACGAGAAAAGUUCAGCACAGUUCAAAUCUGACGAGUCAGGUACACUGACGCUCUCUUUCGUUCGACGCCACAAGGAUCCCCUGUUUGGCUGGCCAUUGCUGCCAGUAAGACGUUUGAACGGUUUCAUCAGAGCGAGGGAUGAAAGCAGAAAGCGGAGAAAGAGAAAAGUUCAGCACAGUUGCAAUCUGACGAGUCAGAUACACUGACACUCUCUUUCGUUCGACGCCACAAGGAUACCCCUGUUUGACUGGACAAGAGCUGCCUGUACCACCGUGUCAAAAGGCUGUCCAACUACAUGGCAGGACGAUGACUGAGGUGUGCUGAUCUUCAGAAGCUUGCGGAACUGAGUGCUGCUGAACAUUUGCAUGGCCAUGAGCAAUGGUGAAGCUUGCUAUUGCACUCUCAGCAUGUGCUAGUAUUAUGCUGACCACUGCACUAUGUUACUCUCUUACACUACUACGUGUAUGUAAACGUGCGUGUACCCGUCCCCGUACGCAUUCGUUUCGUAUAAUUAUUUGUUAUCCCUCUUGACUUUACAUGUAAAUGGGUGGACGUUUGCAUGGCUGUUGGAGUUGCGUGUGUAUUGUGUCUCUACUCUUUUCUUGGUGUUUUCUUGGCGUUGUAUAAGUGUGUGUGUGUGUGUGCGCGCGCGCGCGCGCGCACAAUAAUUUGAAAACAAAUAAUUAAUCCUGGGCUCUCCAUUAUUCUCUUUCGAUUCUUGGUUUUUUUCUAGGUAUUUUCUUGGCGUUGUGUGGGUGUGUGCAUGUGUGUGUGCGUGCACAAUAAUUUGGCAACACUACAUGAUUGAGAUAUUGUAAUUUGCAGCGUCUGCGAAGAGACCA